GGCUCAGAACGAACGCUGGCGGCGUGCUUAACACAUGCAAGUCGAACGAACCUUCGGGUUAGUGGCGGACGGGUGAGUAACGCGUGAGAAUCUGCCCUCAGGAGGGGGAUAACGGUUGGAAACGACCGCUAAUACCCCAUAUGCCGAGAGGUGAAAAGAAAUUCGCCUGAGGAUGAGCUCGCGUCUGAUUAGCUAGUUGGUGUGGUAAUGGCGCACCAAGGCUUCGAUCAGUAGCUGGUCUGAGAGGAUGAUCAGCCACACUGUGACUGAGACACGGACCAGACUCCUACGGGA
rnacentral:rRNA from 1 species